rnacentral:rRNA from 1 species
UAGCAAUCAAUAAGCGGAGGAAAAGAAAAUAACAAUGAUUUGCCUAGUAACGGCGAGUGAAGAGGAAAGAGCUCAAAGUUGGAACCUGGUUGGCUUAGCUAAACCGGAUUUUGUAAAACUGUAGAAGUGUUUUCCAGACACGCCUGGUAAAAAAGUCCUUUGGAACAGGGCAUCAGAGAGGGUGAGAAUCCCGUCAUUGGCCAGAGCUGUUGUCUUUUGUGAUACAUUUUCAAAGAGUCAGGUUGUUUGGGAAUGCAGCCUAAAUUGGGUGGUAAAUCUCACCUAAAGCUAAAUAUUUGCGAGAGACCGAUAGCGAACAAGUACCGUGAGGGAAAGAUGAAAAGAACUUUGAAAAGAGAGUUAAACAGUAUGUGAAAUUGUUAAAAGGGAACCGUUUGGAGCCAGACUGGCUUAACUGUAAUCAAUCUAGGCUUUGGCCUGGAUGCACUUGCGGUUUAUGCCGGCCAACGACAGUUUUGUUUGAGGGAAAAAAUUACAUUGAAUGUGGCCCUUCGGGGUGUUAUAGCUUUGUAAAAAAUACCUUGGACUGGACUGAGGAACGCAGUGAAUGCCUUUAGGCAAGAUUGCUGGGUGCUUUCGCUAAUAAAUGCUAGAAUUUCUGCUUCGGGUGGUGCUAGUGUUUAAAGGAGGAACUCGCUUAGUAUAUUUUUUAUUCGCUUAGGUUGUUGGCUUAAUGACUCUAAAUGACCCGUCUUGAAACACGGACCAAGGAGUCCACCAUAAGUGCGAGUAUUUGGGUGACAAACCCAUAUGCGCAAGGAAACUGAUUGAUACGAAGGCUUUAAGCUGGCAGUAUCACCCGGCGUUGACGUUUUAUUCUGAACUGACCGAGGUAAAGCACUUAUGAUGGGACCCGAAAGAUGGUGAACUAUGCCUGAAUAGGGUGAAGACCCGGAGGAAAACCUCCGGUGGAGGCUUCGUAGCGAUUCUGACGUGCAAAUCGAUCGUCAAAUUUGGGUAUAGGGGCGAAAGACUAAUCGAACCAUCUUGUAGCUGGUCUGCA